CUUCCGAUUCCGUUACUGACAGACAUCGGAGCAGGAACUCAAGGCAGGAACCCAAAGCAGAAACCAUGGUCUUUUUCAUCACCAUCAUCUGUUAGCUCAGACCAUUGGGUACAGACUGAGGCUUGAUCAUGAGAUGAAGAUGGAAAAGGACCCACUGUAAAUCACUCUCUGUCCUUGUCUUCAAUAGGAAUCCCAGGAGAACAGGGCAAAAAUAAAGGAUUUGUCAUUUGUGGCUGGAAUCUUCUGCAGGAAGUGUUGUGUCCUCACAUGCCACACCAGAGGUAUAGACCACUGAAACAAAGUCUGGUCAUUUAAGUAAACGGUAUCUGCCAGAUUUCAACACCACAAAGGGCAUCUUUUCUUAUGUAUUUAGUAAGUUAUCUACUAGGCAGUACUUUGAGACUGAAUAUGCUGUUCCGAACAACCUUUCACUAAAUGACUUUAGUAUCUAUUAAAAUUUCUCUCCUGAAUUAUUAUAA